rnacentral:rRNA from 1 species
UCCGAGCGUUAUCCGGAAUCAUUGGGUUUAAAGGGUCCGUAGGUGGGCCAUUAAGGUCAGGGGGUGAAAGUCUGCGGCUCAACCGUAGAAUUGCCUUUGAUACUGGUGGUCUUGAGUCGUUGUGGGGUUGCCGGAACAUGUGGUGUAGCGGUGAAAUGCAUAGAUAUCACAUAGAACACCGAUCGCGAAGGCAGGUGACCAUCAACGUACUGACACUGAUGGACGAAAGCGUGGGUAGCGAACGGGAUUAGAUACCCCGGUAGUCCACGCCGUAAACGAUGGAUACUAGCUGUGGGGACCUCGGUCUCCGUGGCCAAGCGAAAGUGAUAAGUAUCCCACCUGGGGAGUACGUUCGCAAGAAUGAAACUCAAAGGAAUUGACGGGGGCCCGCACAAGCGGUGGAGCAUGUGGUUUAAUUCGAUGAUACGCGAGGAACCUUACCAGGGCUUAAAUGCAGGCUGCAUGGGGUGGAGACACCCCUUUCUUCGGACUGCCUGCAAGGUGCUGCAUGGUU